UCUUGUCGGAACCUAUCACACACCAACAUCACAACCAACCCAAUUUGCAUAAAUACAAUUCUAAAAGCUAUUUCUUAAAUCAAGCCCCACUAGUUAUUCCUAACUAGCUUCCAAUUACCAUUUGACUGGCUAUCUAUUCUCUCUACUCUAGUAUCACUAGAAAUAAAUAAACAAACCUCAACAAUAAAACAACUCACAACUCCAAUUACUAGCCAUUAUCAACAACCAAAAAUCAAUCCUCAUUCAUUACUCAC
rnacentral:lncRNA from 1 species